GCGCGCAGUCGAGGCACCGCGUUCGUUAAUGUUGACAUUGCCCGGGGAGCAGACGGUGCCAGUCUCUGUUCUUGAAGCGAAAACACUUCAGCUCUGCACCUGCAGUCACUCGUGUGGAUGUAAAGCACUCAAAAGGAAGAAUGUUACUGAAUCUGAAGAACAUUUUGUCAGGAGCGUCCUGCCAAGUAUUCGGAGCAAGGGGACGCUGCUGCUGCUGCUGCCGAUGUGCGCGCUCCGAAUUGAGUGAUGCACAGGACGCCAGCCACGUGCAGCUCCUCCUCCACACCUCGUCCUCAUCACAACGAGCACCUUGGAUGCGUUCGUUGGGGCAACACGCGCGCGCUGCGACACAAAGUCUAAGCCGGCCCCCGAUGUAGCAUGAGCCCCGGCAGGCGACACGACGCCAGCAGGCACGACAGCGCGGUGGAUCUUAGACAUACACAGCGUGCAUGAUGCAUGUCUGUGUGGGCGCAGUGGUGGGACAUCACCGCGGCUCGGUUUGUUGGUGGCGAGGUUCGGGCUCAGCUCCCCUGGGCGUCAGGGAAUGCCGCUCUCACCCCUUGAGAGCGGCCUUGAGAGUCGCCCGUCUAACAUUUGUGUCUUGGUCCCACGUGGAAGAGUAGGCCCAGUACCCCAUGUGGAGUUUCGCGCGAGUGGAUAACCCUUCCGGCAGCGAGUGGCGUGAGUGAGCUCUUGCAUGGCUGCACCUUUGCCCGCCUGGUUCAGUUUUUACUUCGCACGUUGCGUUGGAGACGCGGUUUGGAUGGGAGCCGCGUGGUGGAAAGCCAACAACAGUGGUCGUCAGGGACAGACUUGGCCUCAGCACGGGAAUGUGGAGUUUCCAGUAUCGGGCCCGGACGCCGCCUUGCGCUCGUGUGUGUGUGUAUGUAGAACUUCUUUCGCACCGUACGUAGCCAACCGUGCUAAGUGGAGGUGCGAGGGAAGCACAACAAAUUAAACGAGAAAAAAGGCAGUUCUCAAGAAAUGAGUUUUCAUUCUAGACGAUUUAAAAGUGUAGUUCCAGUGGAUUCCUGAUAUCGGAAGGAGGAGCGUUCCAGACGGCCGCAGAAGCGCAUCUUAAAGCGCCUCAUCCCGUCGCUGUGUACACUCACUCUCGCUACCACUCUCUCAUUCACUAUCUCACUCAUUCACUCUCUCAAUCACCAUCUCACUCAACCGCUCACUCUCUCAUUCACUCUGCCAUUCACUCGCUCUCUCACUCAUUCACUUACUAUUUUACUCACUCUCAUGCAUUCACUCUUUAACCCUCUCUCAUUCACCCUCUCAUUCAUGAAGUACAGUAUUCACUUGAUGUGAGGCUUUCGUGAUUGCAGGAAUCCAUAUCCUUUGGUUAUUUCGGUAAAGUCACGUCGGUAGAAAAAAAAAAUACAUCACUAUUGUUAUAUUUAAAAAUUUCUACCCACGUGACUUUACCGAAAGAAC